UACGUAGGGUGCAAGCGUUGUCCGGAAUUAUUGGGCGUAAAGAGCUCGUAGGCGGUCUGUCGCGUCGGCUGUGAAAACCCGGGGCUCAACCCCGGGCCUGCAGUCGAUACGGGCAGACUAGAGUGCGGUAGGGGAGACUGGAAUUCCUGGUGUAGCGGUGAAAUGCGCAGAUAUCAGGAAGAACACCUAUGGCGAAGGCAGCUCUCUGGGACGGUACUGACGCUGAGGUGCGAAAGCGUGGGGAGCAAACAGG
rnacentral:rRNA from 1 species